GACGAACGCUGGCGGCGUGCCUAAUACAUGCAAGUAGAACGCUGAAGAGAGGAGCUUGCUCUUCUUGGAUGAGUUGCGAACGGGUGAGUAACGCGUAGGUAACCUGCCUUGUAGCGGGGGAUAACUAUUGGAAACGAUAGCUAAUACCGCAUAACAAUGGAUGACCCAUGUCAUUUAUUUGAAAGGGGCAAAUGCUCCACUACAAGAUGGACCUGCGUUGUAUUAGCUAGUAGGUGAGGUAACGGCUCACCUAGGCGACGAUACAUAGCCGACCUGAGAGGGUGAGCGGCCACACUGGGACGGAGACACGGCCCAGACGCCUACGGGAGGCAGCAGUAGGGAAUCUUCGGCAAUGGGGGCAACCCUGACCGAGCAACGCCGCGUGAGUGAAGAAGGUUUUCGGAUCGUAAAGCUCUGUUGUAAGUCAAGAACGAGUGUGAGAGUGGAAAGUUCACACUGUGACGGUAGCUUACCAGAAAGGGACGGCUAACUACGUG
rnacentral:rRNA from 1 species